rnacentral:rRNA from 1 species
AGUGAACGCUGGCGGCGUGCUUAACACAUGCAAGUCGAACGGAUGAAAUAAGCUUGCUUAUUUCGUUAGUGGCGCACGGGUGAGUAAUGUAUAGCAAACCCGCCCUUUAGUGGGGGACAACAGUUGGAAACGACUGCUAAUACCCCAUACUCCUUCUUAUCUUAAGAUAAGUUGGGAAAGAUUUAUUGCUAAAGGAUGGGGCUUUAUGGUAUCAGCUAGUUGGUGGGGUAACGGCCUACCAAGGCGAUGACGCCUACCUGGUCUGAGAGGAUGAUCAGGCACACUGGAACUGAGACACGGUCCAGACUCCUACGGGAGGCAGCAGUGGGGAAUAUUGCACAAUGGAGGAAACUCUGAUGCAGCAACGCCGCGUGGAGGAUGACGCACUUCGGUGUGUAAACUCCUUUUAUAAGGGAAGAUAAUGACGGUACCUUAUGAAUAAGCACCGGCUAACUCCGUGCCAGCCGCCGCCGUAA